rnacentral:rRNA from 1 species
UACGGGGGGAGCAAGCGUUGUUUCGGAUUUGCUGGGCGUAAGGGGCGCGUAGGCGGUCAGCACAAGUCAGUUGUGAAAUCUCCCGGGCUUAACUCGGAAAGGUCAACUGAUACUGUGCGACUAGAGUGCAGAAGGGGCAACUGGAAUUCAUGGUGUAGCAGUGAAAUGCGUAGAGAUCAUGAGGAAGACCGAGUGGACGG